UUCGCUUCUUGGUCUUUUGGCUAAGAACAAGUAUAGUAUCUGUUCUUAUCAGUUUCAUGCCAGUGGCAGACUACACCAGUGUGGGGAUGGGUGCUGCAUGGUAGGGGGUAGGUGUUCCAGGGCUGGUUCUGAGGAAUCAACUCGAUGGCUGCCCCGAUGUGACUUGUUUCCUCCGGGUCUCGCCAUGAGGCU